GUUCCUUCCGUCUCUCGGCCUGCAGCACCACUUCCAGCUCCGUGAAUUCAUCCAGACCUUUCUGCCGCCUCUGGAGAAAGAAAGCCUUGGUUUGUAACAACAUGAGGGCAGACAAGCAGAAUGUGGAAGAGUAUGACAGUAUGGACAGAUUGUGUGAUUCGCGGAGAAAGAUAAAUUAAGAGGAUAAUGGGGGUUCUGUAAGGUCACACAGGAAGACAAACUGUUUUAACUGCUUCAGAGGAAGUACAGAUUCAACUGGGGUCUUGAAUCAACACAUCCAACCCUGAUGUUCUCCAGAAGUUCCUUAUAAUGUGGAUACAGAUUAUAAAAGGCUAACCUGUAUUUAAAGGGUUACAUAAGGGUACAAAAGGUCACGUGAAGCGGUUUUGAGCAUUAAAGAGAAUGGAAUGUCCAAGUGCCCUAUUCAAACUGUGUCCAGAAGAGGACGAUGCAUGCUACAAGGUGACUUUCUGUAGCCUACUGCUGGAAAAAUCCCAGAGGCAUAAGGAGUUUACGAGCCUGUAUGAGCGUAAGGCAAUGAAAACUUGAUGACAGCUUGGAAAUGAGACAUUAUCAGGCAGGAUUUUGGCUUUCACCUUUCCUGUACUACGGACGUGUCUUGUGACUGGACACAAAGAACAAUGGAAUAAGAAGGUGAGGGAGGAAGGAGAGAGGGAGGACAGAAAGGAGGAAAGAGGAGGGAUCGUGGAGUAUGUAAGGUCAGCAGAGUCAGGUUUCCUGGUUGAGCUUAAAUCUGCUCUGUAACCAUUAACACAAGUGACUCAGGCAUCCAGCUUACUCCCACUAUUAACCACAGAGGUUACCAAAGAGGUCACAAAGGUCGAUUCCCAGGGCCUACCAGAUCUCAAUAAUGCAAUUUUUUUUUUUUUUUUUUUUUUUGUGAAAUAUUAUCAUUGUCUUGUCAGAGGUCGUUGUCAAAACUUAUAGUGGAAGCCACUUAAACUUCAGCAGUCUGUGUGUUUAUGCAAGUGUUCACACAUUGAAGUGGUUAGGGGUGUAGUAUUUUUAAUAGGUAACCUAGACCCUCAGAGUUGAAAGUGGAUAUAUACUCCUGCAGAAAUAAUGGGAUGGUUGUAUUUACACUGACCUAUACCACAGUAGGAGCUUGGAAAGGUCCUGUUUUCUCUUCAGCCAUUUAGAUCUUCUUUUUGUCCUGCUGAACAACAGAGAAAAGAAGCAAGAUCAACCUGUGCUCAGCUGAUGAGGUUAAACCUUUAAAGGGAUAGUUCACAUACUGUCAUUGUUUGCUUACCUCAUGACAUGAAACACAUAAACAGAAGUUAUGCUGUUUCACUGUUACUGGUGUGGUUACUAAAAAGCCACCAUAAAAAAUAUAGUGAAAAAUAUUUUUUUCAGUCCUACGACAUAGAAUAUUGGUGCCUCUAUAUUUUGCAACUUAUAACCAUGUAUUUCAUUAAGUGAUAUAAUCUUAAUAUUACAGUAACACUUUACAAUAAGGUUCAUUAGUUAACAUGAACUAAUAAUGAACUGCACUUAUAAAGCAUUUAUUAAUCUUUGUUAAUGUUAAUUUCAACAUUUACUAAUACAUUAUUAAAAUCUUGUUAACAUUAGUUAAUGCACUGUGAACUAACAUGAACAAACAAUGAACAACUGUAUUUUCAUUAACUAACGUUAACGAAGAUUAGUAAAUACAGUAACAAAUGUAUUGCUCAUGGUUAGUUCAUGUUAGAUAAUACAUUAACUAAUGUUUAACUAAUGAGCCUUAUUGUAAAGUGUUACCAAUAUUUCUAUCUACUUGAACUGCCAAUAUCUUUUUUGCUUUUUACCUUAAAAUUUACUGAUAAGCACCAUAAUACAAGAAGUAAAACAGAAAGCCACAUGAUAAAUUCAACGUAAGCGGCCUGUUCAUAAAGGGACAUAAACACAAAGAUAACAUCAGGGUAAGGCACAUGUACAUUACUGAUAACAGAUAAGAAACAAAACUAUUUAAAAAUAUAUAAAUAUAGUCAUGUUCUGUGUCACGCAAGGGUUUCUAGGAAUGACUUUCAUAAAUUUUUACAGUGUACAGACUUGGAGCUGUGCUCUAUUUUUUUAUGAACUAACAAUGACCAAUUAUUAUUAAUCUAUUUUUAAUUAAUUUAUUCAUUGCAUCUAGUGUGGAAGUUGCAUGUGAAAUUUCGGUACAAUGGCGGAUACAAUGAAAGUUGUACGCAUACAAUGACAAUAAAGAAAUUCAGUUCAAUUCAAUUUCUAAAAAAACAUUAAACUAUAUUAAUAAAUAACUAUCUUUUUUUUUUUUUCAUGAUACCUAAUGCACUAAAUGCUAACAAUCCUCUUUUGCAAAAUGGUAAAUGUUUAAAUAUUUCUGUUUUAUUUUAUUUUAUAUUAUGAUGUUAUUGUUGGUGGGGUUGGUUAAUUGGCAUAGCUGCACAUGCUUUUAGUCAUGAAUUACUUGAGAUAUAUUUUAUGACACUAAAUAUAUCUUCUUCUUUUCUUUUCUUUUUUUUUAACCCAUUAACUUACUGCACGUAUAAAAACAGUAAAUACGAGGUGGCGUGAAUGCAGCAUAAGCCCUCAUGUUUGCCAUGUGUCUUGGUCAUGCAUUUUAUGUUUUGAGACUCCAGAGACACCAGCAGCUUUAAAUACCUGUUUGCUGCUCAACAUUGGCCUUUUUAUAGUCCUUUUAAUGCAAAUUUAUUUUUGACAGAAACUUUCCUUAAUAAGCCUUUAUCUGACUAUCUGAGUUCUCAUGUGUUGUAAAUUACUCACAAAUCUUAUGAUAGUUCGAUAAUCUCCAUUCAGUUUUCACACAAUAUUAGUUGUUUUCCUGCCUUUUGCACAACAUUGCACCAUUUCAUGCUUUUCAUCUUUAGAAAGAUUUUUCUUCCUCACCAUAUUGCAUAAGAACUGUGACUUGCUUAAUAAUGAGAAACAACCUCUUUAAAUAUGGUUUCCAUUUACCCAAGUAGACUUGGCAAACUAUUCAACAAACCUGUCUGGGAUUGAUACCAGUUAUCUAAAAAUAUAUGGAAAAUAAAACAAACAAACACUUUCUUUGACAAAGUAAAAUCUGAAUGUUUAUUGUACUGAAAUCCUACUGAUAUGUCACUUGCAUAAUAAUUUGAAACACAGUGUAUACUCAUCCUCAACUCACCCCCAUUAUCUUGUCUCGUUUGAGUAUGACCCGCAUGCUUUGCAUGCAACCCUCUUCUUUUUCUAAGAGAUCUGCAAGGAAAGAUUAUUAUUGAAGGUGUUAUUCGAAGCUUCAUGUUACUUUGAUACUCUCCUUCUUCAUCGACAUCCUUUGUAUCUGAUUGUAAUAAAAUGCAUUCACUACAACUUCCUCCAUCAUCUUGUUCAUCACAUGGCAAUUAUGAAGUUCAUGACAUAAUAAAAAGAAAGACAUAGUGUUCCUUUCUAUGUCUUUUUUUUUAAAAAUCCAUUUAAAACCUGCAUUUCAAUUUACAGUACACAAAAGCAAAUACUAAUGUUAACCUAACCUCUUCUGGAACAUCCUCUUGCUUCAUCUGCUUGUUAGUAAACCCUCACAGUCGCCAUUUUUUUCAACGCUUUUAUCGGAUUUAGCAUCUGUUUAUUUUCUGCUGCUCUUAAAUGUGGCGUCUCAUCAAAUUUAUCCCAUAAUUACAGCUGAGCGCAGGUUCCAAAACCCAUCACCAUUCUAACAAAGUUUUAUUCUCGCUCCUGCAAACAACCAUAAUUACAACAUUGCCAUUCAAGCAGAAUUGGCUAUUGAUAGUGCAUGUAUGUAAUCCCGCAUAAUUAAAACUCACAAAGAAAGAAGUCGGAAGAAAACGGCAGAGCAGCCUGAAUGAAAGUGUGGCCUGACCUGCUGACCCCUCUGCAGUGGUGUGUUCCUGUAGAUGUGCACAGUAAGUCACGGACGAUGUUGGCUGUCCCCGAAGAGAAGGCUUGACUUGGGUACAGCCAUGACAUUUUGUGAUGCUUGGCUCCAUGCCUCAAGUCAGCAGCUGCCAUAAAUAAACAGUGUUGAGAGCCACUGGCUUACACCCAACCACGUCUACAGUAGAAGGAAGUUGAAGGACUGCUGGACAGAUUCUGGCUCUGAUGACCCUCUCCUUAACCCCAUUCACUUAAACAUACAGGGCUGAGUGAGAGCAAAAGGAGGCGAAAUUAUAUAUGUGUAUAUAUAUUUAUUAUAGGUAACACUUUACAAUAAGGUUCAUUAGUUAACUACAUUAGUUAACAUGAACUAAUAAUGAACUGCACCUCUAUGGCAUUUAUUAACCUUUUUUAAUGUUAAUUUCAACAUUUACUAAUACAUUAUUAAAAUCUUGUUAACAUUAGUUAAUGCACUGUGAACUAACAUGAACAAACAAUGAACAACUGUAUUUUCAUUAACUAACAUUAACGAACAUUAGUAAAUACAGUAACAAAUGUACUGCUCAUGGUUAGUCCAUGUUUGUUAAUACAUUAACUAAUGUUUAACUAAUGAACCUUAUUGUAAAGUGUUACAUUAUUAUAUUUCAUAAAAGGCCCUGGUCUCUGACAAAACAUACAAAUGCAAAGACCACAGUAAAUAAUGUUUACAAUCUUCUGCAAUCUAGGCUACUUCAUGUUUUACAUGCUAAUUCAACACAAAGAGGCAUGUGUUUGUCUCGGGCACGAUCUCAAUCCCAACACCCUUAUCCAAGCUAUAAUUGUCUCACUCAUUAAGAAAGACACACCCAGGCCAAGCAUAAACACACAUCAGUGUUUCCUGCACCUCCUUUCAGCAGCAGGGGAUCUUCAGCACAGUAAAAGAAAAAUCAUAUUUCAGAAUUUGAGUGUGCCAUCUUUAUUGGAUGUAAUGCAAAACAAAGACUGUGUACCAUGCUAAAAUGGCAGAACUUUUCUACCGAGUUGUCCUUGUGGGCUCCACGCAAAAACAUACAGCAUGAUAAGUGUUGUCUGAUUCAUGAACAAAUGACUCUUGAGCUGGUGUUUUUUAGCAAAUCAAAAACAUAGUGUGACAAGAGUAGUCUGAUUCCUAAAUGAAUGACUCUUGUGAGUUGGUUCUUUUAAUGAAUAAUUUAAAAAGAUGAGUUGUCUGCUUGAAUCAGUCGGACAAAUCCUUGACUGAACUGAAUUAACAUCUGACACUAUUAAUGAACUAAAAGCUAUAUUGUUACUUUUAGUGAUGUCUGCUUUGAAAUAUACAGUAAUUAUACAUUGCAAUUUUUUUUAAAAUGUAUGUUAUGCUCACCAAAAAUGCAGAUUUGAGCUUUGAAAUAUUAUAUAUACACACAAAGAAAUGCAAAAACAUAAUUCUGUAGGAAUUACAGCACUGUUUUUGCAUACACUCUCAUAGCUCAAAAAGCAGUAGAAGAUGUAUUUAUGUAUUUAUAAACACCUACAAAUACAUCUGUGCACAUUAACAUAUACACACAGAGAUCAGAUGUAAUCUGGCCACAUCCACUGGAGAAAUAAGUCACUUGUUCAAGCAAAGCUGAAAACAGAUGGAAAAGGGAUGAAGAAGUAAACAGCCGUCAUGAGUGUUGCACAAUGCAGAAAAAAAAAACAAAAAAACAAGCAGACCAUGGGAAAAACCUUUGCUUUAUUAGUUCAACACAUUUUCCCAAAGAAUUCAGCAUGUUUUAAGGCUUCAAGUGUUUGAGAGAGUAUUUUGAACUUCUACAACAACCAUUCAAAAAUGCAUUGGAGAUAGAAUUUUAAACAGUCAGCAAAAGUAUUUUUGGCCCCACUUUAUAUUACGUGGCCUUAACUACUAUGUACUUAGGCUACAUCAAAAAAAUAAGUACAAUGUACUUAUUGUGUUCAUGUUGUAUUGAAAAACACUUUUCAGCUAUUGAGGUGGGAUACGGGUACGGUUAGUGACAGGUUUGGUGGUAUGGGUAGGGUUAGUUGGGUCAACAGUGUAAUUAUUACAGAAGUUAAUUACAGAUGUAAUUACAUGCAGGUAUUUUUUAAAAUAUAAGUAUGUACUAAACACUAAAACAUGUAUGUACUAAACUCACGGCAAUUCGUAUGUAUUUUACGAGGUGGCUAAUUCAUACGAAUUUGUACGAGCUCACUCGUACGAAUUUGUACGUUUUUUGCUAAAUCGUACUAAUUAUACGAGUUGCCAAAUUUGCCCCUAAACCUACCCAUUACUGGGGUUUACACAAAUCAUAUGAAUUUGCACUAGUGAGGUCGUACGAGUUUGUACGAAUUGGCCACCUCGUACAUACGAGUUGGUCGUGACUCGUGAGAUAGCGUUGGUAUGUACAUAAGUGCAUUGUAUCAAAUCAUUAUUUUAAAUGUAAGUACAUAGUAGUUAAGGCCACCUAAUAUAAAGUGGGACUGUGUUAUUAGAAUGGUUAUGUAAUGUAAACUGUUACGUUUGCUAUAUAAGUGUUGAGUGAUACUCAAAGUGUUCACUACUGUUAACUUCAUGCAGUUUUUAUUACAUGGUUGCAUAACAUAAAUGUAUGUGCUGCUUAUUUAUAAUACACAACAAUAUAAAAAUGUUUUUGUCCCUUUUUGUUGGAUAUUUUAUAUUUUAAAAUGAUUACAAAUUAUUUGUAAACAUGGAAAUAACAGAAAUAACUGCAAAAUAUGAGAACAUGGCAGCCCAUGCUGACUUACAAACAGAGCAAAACAAUAAUUUGUAAACUGUAAAGCUAAUAAAAAAUUGGAGUAUG